rnacentral:rRNA from 1 species
UACGUAGGUGGCAAGCGUUGUCCGGAAUUAUUGGGCGUAAAGCGCGCGCAGGCGGUUCUUUUAGUCUGAUGUGAAAGCCCACGGCUCAACCGUGGAGGGUCAUUGGAAACUGGGGAACUUGAGUACAGAAGAGGAAAGCGGAAUUCCACGUGUAGCGGUGAAAUGCGUAGAGAUGUGGAGGAACACCAGUGGCGAAGGCGGCUUUCUGGUCUGUAACUGACGCUGAGGCGCGAAAGCGUGGGGAGCAAACAGG